GGCGGUGUAGCUCAGGUGGUCAGAGCAUGCGGCUCAUAUCCGCAGAGUCACUGGUUCGAAUCCAGUCACCGCCA
rnacentral:tRNA from 1 species